GGGGUCCUCAUCCCGGAACUACGCUUUUUUUCUGAAAGCGGAAGAUGGGCGAGCCGGGCAGUAGAGACGCUUUCUGAAGGGGGUAGAACGGUUCGAGGUUUCGCGGACUGUUUACCUCCAGGGGUCGUUCGUGAGUCAGAGAAACCGGGCCUUUGGAGGGAGAGGGCCUGGCGACAGUCCUUCUGCGCUUGGCUGUGCAGCGUUCUGGCUGCUUCUGCCCGGCGCCACGAGGCCCGCCCCGGCGCUACCCUCGCCCUGCCUGCCCCGGCUCUGUCGGCCUGCGGGCGCUGCAGCCUCUCUCCCGCCGCCGGCGUGUCUGGAAAUGGAGGCCCAUAGCUAGAAGGUCCCGGGUACCCUUUGUUCCCAACCCUGCCUUGCCCGUCUUCCUCUGGGAAUUAGUGAGACCUUGGCCCUAAGGGCGUAACCCCCCGUGGCUCCACGUGGGGGUCCCAUAGCUCUUCUGCUACUUCCGGCAGUGGCUGAGGGAGUCGAAGCUGUGGGUAGUGAGGACAGGUGUGGACAGUAGCAGGGAGGGGAAGGUCUGUGGUUCCUGACGUGCUGCCUCUGUUCCCAAGAAGAUAACUUUCCUAUGGCCCUUGCCCUCUGGCUAGUUAUGGCCCGUCCACCACGUGUCCUCAAAUGCCUGGACUCUGGAGAAAGGCAGCCUCCUUCCUCAGACCCCACGACGCUUGUCGGUCCCACUACCUGUUUUCACCUUUCCCCUCGGAGGCCACCUAGAGCACCUGGCUAGAAAUGGGAGCAACUGGUGGGAUUGGGAUUGAGAUAGGGAGUCUGCAGCAUUUGGAGGGAAGGAGUGGACUAAGAUGGAACUGCAGAACAUUUGAGGCACUGAAAGUUACUGGGGCAAAAUGGGAGGGUCAGGGAGCAGGGGUGAGGGAGCGAGGGAAUGAGACCCAUCAUCUCUGUAUGUCUCAAAAGGAAGAAACUUACGUGUCUCUGAGCAGGCAGAUGAGGAACGCAUUUUUCAGAGCUCUGGUUCUCUGUGAGACACACAACCCAUAGUAAUUUAGUUUUGUUCCAAACGUGUUAAGUGAAGUGCACACCUCCCUAUUUGUUCCUAAGGAGCUACAGCUACUGGUAACUUCUACAAGACAGAGGUCCUGUUGCUACCCUGUGUGACAGAAUGGGAAGUACGCAUGAAGCAGGCUUGCUGCAUACCAAGCCUUUGUGUCAUAUGGCACCUACCCACCCCUACUGCUGCGCGGGCUCCUGUGGGGAGACACUAGAGCCCUUCAUCUGCGGCACAGGCGGAGUGCGUGCAGACCCUGCGUGCUGGCCGCGGGGGACACUCACUGCUGAUGCUGGUCUCACCCUGUCUCUUCUCUGUGUGAGGAAAGUUCGAGACAUCUGUUGAGGCUGCGGCCAUCUGAAGGCUUGACUGGACCUGGAGAAUCUGCUUCCAAGAGGUGCACUCACGUGGCUGUUGGCAGGAGGUGUCACUGGACGGACCUCUCCACGGGGCUUUGACGAUGCGCACAGCUUGGCAGCCAGCUUCUCCCAGAGCAAGUGAUCAGAGAGAGGGAGCAAGAUAGAAGCCUCAGUGUCUUUUAUGAUCUACCCUCAGAAGUCAUGCUCUGUAAUUUCCACCACGUUCUAUUCAUUAGAGUGAGUCACAUGUACAGGCCACACUCAAAGAGAGGGAAAUUAAGCUCCACCUCUUAAAGGGAAGAGUACCGAAGAAUACGUGGACAUGUUUCAAUAACACUACACUUAGUGAACCAAUAUUUUCCAAAUGACUGUGUGAUGUUACAAUGCCAUGAUGCACAGAUAAAAAAUCUAUUCUAAUUGCAAGAUAGCCCCAUGGAUUUUUAAUGUAACAGAGUAGGAAACAUUCAUUGAUGUAGUUUUAGAUCCCACAUUGCUUCUGACCUUUAAGAAGCUAUCAUUUGUUGAGUUCUGGUGUAGGAUCAGAGAAGAGUAUCCACAAUUAUCUGAAAAGGCUAUCAAAAUACUCCCCUUAUUUCCAACUACGUAUCCCUGUGAGGCCAAAUUUUUGUCAUAUACUGACAACAGCAUUAGAAUAGACCGGAAUGCAGAGGCAGAUAGGAGAAUCCAGCUCUCUUCUGUUAAGCCAGACAGAGAUUUGCAAAAAUGUACAACAGAGUGGCUCUUCUCACUAAUUAUUUUUGUUUUAGAAAAUGUGUUUUUCUUAAAAAGUGUGUGUGUGUGUGUGUACUAACAUGUAUUGGAUUUAUUAUUGUAAUUUGUAAAUGAAUUAAAUAUUUUUAAAUUUUCUCAGUUUCUAAUAUGGUAUUAUCACUAGAUGUAACCCAUAUAAACGAAGGCUCUUUGGGUCCUCAGUAAUUUUUAAGAAUGUAAAGGAGUCCUGAGACCACAAAGUUCUGAGAUCACUUAUCUGAGCAAUCGGAUGGCUCUGUUACCCUCAAAUAAUAGUUUAGGGAUGGGCAUGUGGUGCGACUUUGGCCAAUGACAUGUGAGGUGAAGGUGUUGUGUUCAGUUUUCAGUUUAGGGUAUUAAAUAGAAGCGUACAUGGGGUCUUCUAAAAGAUUGGUCAGGUUCUAUUUCUCAAGCUAGGUGAUUUAUAUGUGAUAUUUACCGGCUUCUUUAUCUCUUACAUAUUAAAUUAUUUGGGGUGUGAAAUAUUUUAUAACAAAAAACACAGAACACGUGGCAGAGAAGAUUCCCCUUCCUCUAUGGAAGCAUCAUGUCUGUUUUGCAGCGUAUUCAGCUUGUACAUUGGGCCUGAGUCUGCAUUGUUUGGCUCUAAAGGAUUUUCUGUGCAUUUCGUGGCUGAGUCUGUGUCUGCAACAUAUUUGUGAUAUUUGACUUGUAACCUGAGAGUCCCCAGACCUCCAGCCACGUAUGCAAUCUCACUGCAUUCACAAGGCUACCAGUUCAAGUCAUAUAAAGUCCCUCAUAAAGAAACCUUCUCUGCUUCUGGCUCAGUCCCUCUCCCUUGUGUCCCCUAGGAUCAGGCAGGAUACCAACGUCUGUCAUACAUCACAUCAUCUGCCAGGUUCUCUCACCUACACCGCCCUAAGAGUAAAUAUAUCUACUGGGACAGCCAGCCCACCAGUUCUGCAAACUGCCACACUCUGAAUCCAUGUUAGAUACCUUUUAGGAACUUGUGAGAGCCCCUCUAAAUGGAUCCGC
ensembl:lncRNA